GGAUUCCAGUGAGUGGCCAGUGACUAUUGCCCUGUUCCUCCUUUUUCUCAGUCUUCUCUAUUGGUAUUCUGUUUACCCGUUUUCUGUGCUGUCAGAAUGUGGCAUCAAACAUCCCAAACCUUUGCCCUUUUUGGGGAACAUUUUUCUAUUUCGUGAGGGUUUCUUUAAUGCUUUGACGGAUCUCAUAAAAACACAUGGACGAGUUUGUGGGUA